CCUACGGGGUGCAGCAGUGGGGAAUAUUGGACAAUGGGCGAAAGCCUGAUCCAGCCAUGCCGCGUGUGUGAAGAAGGCCUUCGGGUUGUAAAGCACUUUCAGUGGGGAAGAAAGCCUUGGGGCUAAUACCCUCGAGGAAGGACAUCACCCACAGAAGAAGCACCGGCUAACUCCGUGCCAGCAGCCGCGGUAAUACGGAGGGUGCGAGCGUUAAUCGGAAUUACUGGGCGUAAAGCGCGCGUAGGCGGUCUGAUAAGCCGGUUGUGAAAGCCCCGGGCUCAACCUGGGAACGGCAUCCGGAACUGUCAGGCUAGAGUGCAGGAGAGGAAGGUAGAAUUCCCGGUGUGGCGGUGAAAUGCGUAGAGAUCGGGAGGAAUACCAGUGGCGAAGGCGGCCUUCUGGACUGACACUGACGCUGAGGUGCGAAAGCGUGGGUAGCAAACAGGAUUAGAUACCCUAGUAGUC
rnacentral:rRNA from 1 species